GCUCAGGAUGAACGCUAGCUACAGGCUUAACACAUGCAAGUCGAGGGGUAGCAGGGUAGCAAUACCGCUGACGACCGGCGCACGGGUGAGUAACACGUAUCCAACCUUCCCAUAACUCGGGGAUAGCCUUUCGAAAGAAAGAUUAAUACCCGAUAGUACUUAAGAAAGGCAUCUUUUUUAAGUUAAAGAUUUAUUGGUUAUGGAUGGGGAUGCGUUCCAUUAGAUAGUUGGUGAGGUAACGGCUCACCAAGUCUUCGAUGGAUAGGGGUUCUGAGAGGAAGGUCCCCCACAUUGGUACUGAGACACGGACCAAACUCCUACGGGAGGCAGCAGUGAGGAAUAU
rnacentral:rRNA from 1 species